UUUGUUGUUAGAAUUUAAAAUUGCUUUUACUUUGUUUUCACUCUUUUAUUGGAGGAUAUUUGAUCAGACAGUUACACAGGGCACAUGUAUCAAUUUAACUCAGACCUUCGUGAAGGUCUUAUGUGAGUCUCAUUGUCACUAAAAGUUGCAUACAAUUCUGAGCGAGAAGAUGAGUAAUAAAAGAGUGAAAACAAAAUAAAAGCAAUUUUAAAUUCUAACAACAAAAGAAAAUGUAGUCUUCAGGCAAAUUUUGCUGAAUUCCGGUCAUGAUGUAUCUUGCCUGUAUGGACAUCAAUUGUUUUUCUGACAUUCCUCAACACUCCUUCUCAUAAGUGAUAUUAUAUGGGAUGGCUCAGGGGCACCAAACACUGAACUUCCUGCAACAAUGCAGUUUGCACCAGCUGAAGCUGC
rnacentral:misc_RNA from 1 species